rnacentral:lncRNA from 1 species
UUAGUGUAAAAACCUUCAGAAGGGUACGUACGUACCACACGUGAACAAUAAUCAAAAUUACAAAAUACGUACAAUUGCCAGUAUGUUCUUCAUUAUGUAAACAAACACACAAACUUUAUCACAAGAAUGACAAGAUACACGACCUAAUGAAAAGAAUUUCUGAUUUUGGGGGCUCCCAUGGUGGAGCUUCAUCUAUAUAUAUGUUCACUGUCCAGUAGCCAUGACGAACGGAGGGGGAGGCUUGGCAUGGCCUGCAAACUUCAUUCCGUUAUGGCAAGGUGGGGCGCCCUUUUCCGGGAUAUGGCUGCAUGAACUGCUUCCAGAAGGAGGCACAGGACCUGAACUCAGAGAUUGUAAAGGAACAAAUCUUAUCUUGAUCCACUCUUCUUUCUCUCCAUCAAGAACCCUACCAGCACUGUGUGGUUGGACGCUCAGAACAAGAACAAGUGCGGUGACAGCUAAAGCAAUGUUGAGAAACCUCAUGAUCUUUGACGGGUUAAGCAAAGAGGAGAUGAUCAAAGCAAUAUUUUUGGAUGGACAAAUUAAUAUGCAUAUAUGGAAGAGAACGACCAUCUCGGUUAUUUAUAUGCAUAUAUGCUCCUAAUAGUAUGACUGGAGUUUUCGGUAGUUUGGCUUGUUUGAAGGGUUUCUUUGACUGUUGACGACGUACUAAUAGCGUUUUCCUUUGGAAGAUUGAAAAUUGAAGAGGUCAUAGAGAAGAAACUACGUCUGAAAUUACUUGAUUACUGUGCACAUGAGCAUGCAUCUUAUGACCUUUUUGAACAUAAAAAAUUAUGUGGAAAGGAAAAUGAUUUUGAUGUUAAGUUGAAGAGUUGUCUUGGUUGUCCUUAAUCAUCAUUUCCUUGAGGAGGGUUCACCAUUAAACAAGCUGGCUAAACCGAUUAUGAGCCACUCACACCGUACUAAUACUAUGUGUGAAGAUAGUUUUAGAUUCCCAAAAUUUUAGUGUAUAUUAUUUGGGUAUGUUAUAAGUUUACAAAUUAUUUUUAAAUUUAUAAACUUAUCAUAGAAUAAAUCUUGAGAGUUUAGUAAUUUUUAAAACUCAUUUGGCUAAUGAAAAAAACUGAGAAAAUGAGUUGCAUUGUGGAAUAUUAUAUUUUUAGCAAAUCUGGAACCAAUUUAGGUUGAAGGUUGGCUGAUGGUCUUCUGGUAACCAUUUGACUUAGUUAUAUAUUAAUCUUCAAGGUAUUUAGAUUCUAUUAAGGUUGAAGUCAUUUCACAUAUGAGAAAAAAAGGGGGAAGAGUUCCCUUCUGUUAUAAAAAUAGACCUCCACCCCCUAUACUAUUCAUCCCAAAAAAAAAAAAGUUUUCAUCAUUUUAUAAAUUUUUAUGUUUUCUUUUCUUGACAAGAGAGAGGUUGUAAUUUGUCUUCAUAGUAGAUAUUUUUUCCCUCUUGCCUUAUGGAGAUUUCCCUCAUAAUUAAGAUGGUUUUACCAUGUAAGUAAUUUUAUCCCUUGUUUUAUUUAUCAUUCUAUUUUAUUUUUAUUAUUCUAUUUUCAAAUUAUUAUUGCUAGUAGAAUCAAUUUCAAACAACAAGUCACUAGGUAGCUAACUUCGUGUUUUUCCUUAUUAGACCUAUAGGAUAUGUAUUUCAUUCCCUUUAUGUAUUUUAGUUUUAAUUUAGUUGUCUUUAGGUAUGUACCUCAUCUUGUUAACCUUUGCUUUUAGUCACUAUUAAUUUAUUUUAUUAUUGUUGCGUAAUCAACAUUAUUUAAUAUAAUGUAUUUUUUAAUACUAAAUAUUUGUCUGUUGGGACAAGAAUUUCUUUUUAGAUUUUGAUCGGGGUGGACUCACCAUCUCUUAGUGUGCCCUUUUUGGGCGAGUCUUCACAAAAUAAGUUCCUGAUGAUAUUACAUAGUAAUUAAUUUUCUCUUCAUGAAUUAUAUAGUAAUUUUUUUUUAAUGAUGUAAACAUGGUUUUUGGCUAUACGAAUUUAGACCCAAAGCAAAUAAUAUUUAUACUAAAAAAUAAGUUGUUCUGCUUUAUUAUCAAACUAAUAAAAACACUGCCAUGAAUAUAUCCAUAUUAUCACAAAUAAUUAGCCUUGCCAAAAGAUUUUAGUUUGUUUCCUCUUCUUUAGCAUAUAAGUGCCAUAAACUUGGAUGCAUGAGCAAAGUUUGGCAAAACACACGGAUGAAUGCCGAACUAAGAUGAUGAAAAUGGAAGUACUGCUACAACCAGCAAUCAUAUAUGAGUACAUGCAUCAUUCAACUUGUUCUUUUUUGGUUUUAUAUAUAUCACAAAGUGUAGAAGUCCACCAGGAUACAAACUGUGAAUGGAGAAAAAGAAUACACGAAUGACAUACGAGCAAUUUGUGUUAUUAUUUUUUUUUUCUUAAUUUAUUUGUCAGAAGGAAAAUAUAUAAAAACAAAAAACACAAAAAAGGCCUACAUAUUCAGUUUAUUGCUUAUGGUCUUAUAAAAGUCCUAAAAUACGUAGUUAUGUGGAGGCUGGAGCUUCAUUUAUUUUCGGUAGCCAUGACAACCGGAGUGCUGGCAUGCGAACGUGCUCUAGGGGGAGGCAUGGCAUGACCCGCAAACUUCAUUCCAUUGGGACAAGGUGGACCAUUUUCGGGGAUACGGGUGCAUGAACUUGGUCCAGAGGGAGGCACAGGUCCAGCUCCAAGCAUAGAUUGCAAAGGAACAAUCCUUAUCUUCAUCCACUCAUCUUUCUCUCCAUCAAGAACCCUACUAGCACUGCGGGGUUGGACACUCAGAAUAAAAACAACUGCUGUGACAGCCAAAACAAUGUUGAGAAAUCUCAUGAUGAUCUUGGUUGGGUUAAGCAAAGAGGAGAUGAUCAGCUAGAGCAAUAUUUUUGUGUGGGCAAUAUGCAUAUAGAUGGAGGAGAACGAUCAUCAGUUAUUUAUAUGCAUGCAGCCAAUGGCAUGACUAGAGUUUUUGGUAGUUUGGCUUAAUUGAAGGGUUUUUUUGACUCUUGACUAAUAGAAUUUUACUGUAGGAAUUUGGAAAUUUAAUAGUCAUAAAGGAAGAAAAUACCUAGAAUUACCCAAAUGGCUUGUGUAGUUAAUUUAAUUCCACAUAUGCGUGCAUCUUAAAUCAAUUACAAAGAAAAUAUAUGAUACUCUCUCUAAGCUUUUUCGAAAAUAGAUACGAGAAAUUAAUCUACUCCCAUUAACUUUAACUAAUAAUAAAGUAUGUAAUUUGGCUUGACUAAAUAUCCCUAGUUACCAUUUCCGCAAGAAAGUUAGAUAAUUAUCAUUUUGGAGACCGAGUUCUACCAUAUAAUUACAUUUUUUUCUCCAAAUUAAGUAAUGUUCGUAAAGCUUAUAUACAUUAUUGAUUUGUAAUUAACCUGUAUUGGACAAUGGAGAAUGAAGAAUCAAUUUAUGUGCUACAAGUGCAAGUGAUAUAUAUGGCCUUUCCUGUGGCAUAUUACUUGCAUAAGGGGCUGCUAAAACUUAUUUCAUAAAAAUUAAUCAUUUCAAAAUUGUUAGCAUUAAUCUAUAGCAAAGUAUUUCAAAUUUUCAGAGUUGUAAAGCACUUAGUAGACAGACCAAUCUAGGCAGGUAUGGUCUACGAAGACUUUUGUCUUAUACACAGUACCCUUUACUUCAUUUAGAGGCACUAAUUUUGAACAAAGAAUAAAUUAUGGUAGGAACACGUUUCCUUGAAUUGGGGCGUGAAUGUUUGGGGUUCGGAUGACAUACCCCUAGCAGAUUCAAGUCAUUGAACGUAACUCUACUAACACGCAUCAGCUUUUCCACCCUCAAGAGCCAUGAGACAAAGACCCAUUCCAUGUAUACGUCCAUUCACACGUACCAACCCUCUUUAUUAUGACUUCACCCAUGUUGACAUAGUUUAACACUUUUUUGGGCUCAAAUUAGUAACUUAAUUAAGAUGAUAUUCACCAUCUUGAUCAUUUAAGGGAGGUCACAUUUGCAAGCCCAAAAACCCUCCAAACAAGAUAGAGUACUUUAGAUCAAAGAGUAAUUUGACAAUUACACUAUUCUCAUACUAUUAAUUGGAAGGCUCUUCGUAUCCUCCGCCUAAAAUAUCUGGGAUUUUUUAUUUAAAUAAUAAUGAUAUUAUUAUUUAAAAAUAUAUAUUUUAAAAAAAUAGUAUUUUGUAACAUAUUUGCAAAUAUAUGACAUGUUUAAAAAUCGUUUUUUUUUUUUAAAGAUUUCACUUGCCCCCAUCAUCAUUUCAAAAAAAAUAAAAUAAAAAUGAUUUUCUUGUUGAUGGAUAUCUUUUAUUUCAUCUCUUUUCUUUUUUCUUAUUUCCCGUAAAAUCAUUAUUUUAAAAUGGAACAUUGAUAUGAAUAUAAUUUAUAAAUUUAAUAUUAGGAGUAAUCUUUUCACUAUAUAUAUAUAUAUAUAUAUAUAUAUAUUAAAUUUUAAAAUUAUUUUUUAAAAAAUAACUUUUAAGUUUAAAACUUACAUAUUCAAAUUAUUGUUUCAAAAAAUAAAUUCCAUAAAUAUAAUUAGAGUGAGAUUGUUACUUCAAGGUAUAAAGUGCAAUUGGUAUUUCAUAAAUUAUCAUAGUUUCAAAAUAUUUUUUCAAUUGCUACUUCUAAAUAUUUAUCAAAGAGAGUAGUAUAAAUUAUGAGUGGCAAAGUUUGAUAACUACAAUUCUCAAACUUGGACAUGCUAUAUUUUUUCAGAGGAUUAUAUUGAGUAUAAUCAUAUUUGAUCAAAUUCGCAUCAAUUUAUAACUUAUUUGAUAAAUAGAUUAUUUUUUUGUUAUUUUGUAUAAGAAGAAUUUGAUCUGACUUAACCUGUUUAAUAAUUAUAUUGAUUAAUAUGAUUAUAAUCAAAAUCGAUUUGUAUUUGAUUCGUAUAAAAAUUAAUUUUAAAAUAAAUUAAUAAAUCACUUUAGUUAUAAACAUAUGGAGAGUUGGGAGAUAUUCAUUUUGAUUCAAUCAAGACCUAAUUAUUAAAUGAAUCAUAUAGUAUGUUACUCGUUUAACAAUUACAUCAUAUUUGAGUUCAUACUUUUAACCGGAUUACUCUUCGUAUUGUAUUUAGGUUAACUUAUUACGUCAAGUAUAUAAAUUUUGAAAUAACAUAAAUAUACCCACCAACACAAAUUACAAAUAUCAAAAAUCAUAUUUAUGAUAAUCUUACCCCAUAAAUCAUAUAUAAUUCACAAAAUUUGAAACUUCAAUCCAUUCUUUAUAUAUAAUAUAAAUUUUUUCUUUACAAGUUUCUUUUUCACUUUUUUUUAUGCAUCAAGUUUGUCAUCUCCUUAUCUUUUUUUUGCGAUAGCACCAAAAUCAAUAAUCUAACUUAUUUAAAAUAAAAGUGAAGAAAAAAAUUAUUCAUACCAUUUAAAAAAAAAAAACAUUUGCUCUUAGAGUAAAAGAUAGUCAGGAGACCAAAUUUGAGUCGAUGAAGUCGUGAAGAGGAUGAAUCAUUACCGACGACAAGGCUUUCAAAGUUCUGGCAUUUGAAUAGGGUCUGAACCAAUUUCACACUGUUCUAUACGUUCAAACCAUGUUUUUUUCCUUAUUUAAAUCGAGUAAUGUUUUCCAUAACAAUGGAAAACAAAGAAAGUUUGUUGUUGAUCUGGUAGUCAAACCAGCGUGCAUGAGAGCAGAUUCAUGGGAAGCUGCCCAAAAAUUAAGUAUUCCAGAAGAAUUUUUGUUCCUUUUCCACACUGUUGAACCUCAUUUUCUGUCUCAUCAACUGUGGCAGGAAUUGAAAUUGAUCCGAAAAAUAGGUGAGGGAAGGAAACAUAAAUUUAAUCUCUCUCUCUCUUAGGAAUGGCAACGGGCGGGUUUGGGACGGGUCACCCCUAUCCCAUUCCCGUCCCAAGUAGAUUUAGUUAUUUCCCAACCCGUCCCAAACCCGGGACGGGGCGGGGCGGGGCAUUCCCGUCCCUGUUAUAGGGUUAAAUUUAAAAGUGUUUGAUAUUUCUUCAUCUAUCUUAGAUCCUUCACUAUAAUUUUUUAUAUUGGAAGAGACUGAAAAGAAAAUUGUAUAUAAACUCAAGUACUUUGCUAAAUGCACCUUUUUGUUUUCCUUUUGCUUCUUGGGUUCAUAAGAAAUUUUUCUCAAAUUGUCAAAUUCUUAAAUGAAUAUUAAAACCAUAUUAUUUGGUUAAAAAAAUAAAUGAUAAUAUUUUAAGUACUUUAAAAAUGGAUUAUAAUAUUUUUAAAAUAAUGUUUAAUUUAAUUUAAAAUAGAUAUUAAAUAUAAAAAAUAAACAUAAAAGGAAUGGAUAAUAAUUUUUUAAAUCAACAAUACAAUGAUAAAUUUUCAAAAUAGUUAUAUUGAUAAUAAAAAACACAAAUCAAGUAUUUAAAAAUAAUAAUAAUAAUAAUAAUAUUUUAAUAGAAACUAUAAAUUUUAUUUUUCUAUUAAAAUAAAUUAUAAUAUUUUACAAACUGAUGAUGGGUAGUAAAUUCUUCAUUUAAAAUGAAUUAUUUACAAUUCAUUUUUUUAAAUAUGUAAAUAAAUGGAGCUUUUUCAUUCCACAUGGACAUUUACUUCCUAACAACUAAAAAUGUAUUUUGCUCUAUCUUGGUCUAGCAUAGAGUUAAUUAUUGACUCAAUUUUGAAUUUUAAACUAUUUUCAAAAAUUACUAGGCUUAUUAAUUGAAGAAAAUAAAGGUAGUAGUUUUUUUCUUGAUUUAGAAUCUAUUCUCCUCGAAAAAAAAUAUAAAAAUAAAUUAUAAUUAUGUGCGAAGAAGAAAUUAGCAUACUCAUUUUGGACUUGUUUUGGUCCAAAAAAUUAUGAUAUUAAUUAGUUGGCUUAGUUUUUUCAUCCUAGACUAUUUUAAAAAAUUAUUAACUUGGUUAAUGAAUCAAAUACAUUAAGUUUUGCUUGAAUUUGAGUUGGUUUACCUCAAGAAAACAUUUUUAAAAAUAUUAUUAUAUGGAGAAGAGAAACCAAAAUUGUCAUUCUUGACUAAUUUUGGUAUUAAUUCACUCAAAUUUUUAUUUCCAACCCAUAUUUAAAAGUUAUUAGACAUGUUGAACCUAAGCAUUAAUUAAGUAUCGUUUGAUUUGAAGUUUAUUAUCGAUUUAUGCAUGAACAAAAUGUAUAUAAUACAUACUUGUUUGCAUUUACUCAUAUCCAAAUACAAUUUUUGCACGGUGAUGUGAUGAAAUAUAAGCUUAAUACAAAUGCAAUGCAAUAAUUUUAAACAAAUAGAAAGUAGAAAAAGAGAGGAAAAAAAGUACAAAUAGUAAUUUUAUCAUAAUUUGACAGCCGCUUACAUCCACUCCUAACUUCUUCCUUACCUUGAAAGUAUUUCCAUUAAUUCAAAAGUCCCUUCAACAGAAGCUCUUCUACAUCCUUAUAUACACUUAAGACUCAAGAUUCUAGUAAACCAUUACAACACACAAAGUGUUCUUCCAACAUUGUAGAUCACUCUCACUACGAAAUGAGGAAAGGACAUAUAGGUGAUAAAUUCAAGAGGUAAAUAAUGGAAUCAAUGUUAAGUUCUAGUAGUGCAAUCAAUGAAGUAUGCAAAUAAUGGAAUAAUUGCACUUUGAAGUUAAAGCUCUCUCACA